rnacentral:rRNA from 1 species
UCCUACGGGAGGCAGCAGUGGGGAAUAUUGGACAAUGGGCGCAAGCCUGAUCCAGCAAUGCCGCGUGGGUGAUGACGGCCUUCGGGUUGUAAAGCCCUUUUGCCAUUGACGAGAACGGACGGUAGGUGGCGAAUAAGCCUCGGCUAACUACGUGCCAGCAGCCGCGGUAAAACGUAGGAGGCGAGCGUUAUCCGGAGUUACUGGGCGUAAAGCGUGCGCAGGCGGUGCCAUAAGUCAGGUGUGAAAGAUUCCGGCUCAACCGGGAAAACGCGCUUGAGACUGUGGGACUAGAGUGGGAUAGAGGGACGUGGAAUUCCGGGUGGAGCGGUGAAAUGUGUAGAGAUCCGGAGGAACACCAGAGGCGCAAGCGGCGUCCUGGGUCCCAACUGACGCUGAGGCACGAAAGCUUGGGGAGCGAACGGGAUUAGAGACCCCGGUAGUCCAAGCCGUAAACGAUGCAGACUCGGUGUCCACUCUCGCAAGGGAGGGGGCGCCACAGCCAACGCGAUAAGUCUGCCGCCUGGGGAGUACGGUCGCAAGACUAAAACUCAAAGGAAUUGACGG